rnacentral:rRNA from 1 species
GUCUAUGGCCAUGUGACCCUGAACAAGCCCGAUCCCGUCUGAUCACGAAAGCUAAGCAGGGCUGGGCCUGGUUAGUACUUGGAUGGGAGACCACCUAGGAAGACCAGGGCCUGUAGGCA